rnacentral:rRNA from 1 species
GUGCACCAGGCGCGAAACCUCCGCAAUGCGCGAAAGCGCGACGGGGUCACCCCCAGUGCCGCCCGCUAAGGGCGGCUUUUCCCCGGUGUAAGGAGCCGGGGGCAAUAAGCGGGGGGCAAGCCUGGUGUCAGCCGCCGCGGUAAUACCAGCCCCGCGAGUGGUCGGGACGUUUAUUGGGCCUAAAGCGUCCGUAGCCGGCCCAAUAAGUCCUCGGCUAAAUCCCACGGCUCAACCGUGGGACGGCCGAGGAUACUGUUGGGCUAGGGGGGCGGGAGAGGCCGAGGGUACUCCCGGGGGUAGGGGCGAAAUCCUAUAAUCCCGGGAGGACCACCAGUGGCGAAGGCGCUCGGCUGGAACGCGCCCGACGGUGAGGGACGAAAGCCGGGGGAGCGAAGGGGAUUAGAUACCCCGGUAGU